CGCCAGGUGGAGCAGCGGUAGCUCAUUCGGCUCAUAACUGAAAGGUCGCGGGUUCGAUCCCCGCCCUGGCAA
rnacentral:tRNA from 1 species